CAGUAGGGAAUCUUCGGCAAUGGACGAAAGUCUGACCGAGCAACGCCGCGUGAGUGAAGAAGGUUUCGGAUCGUAAACUCUGUUGGUAGAGAAGAACGUUGGUGAGAGUGGAAAGCUCAUCAAGUGACGGUAACUACCCAGAAAGGGACGGCUAACUACGUGCCAG
rnacentral:rRNA from 1 species